UACAGAGGAGCCAAGCGUUGUCCGGAUUGACUGGGCGUAAAGCGCACGCAGGCGGUUGCGCGCGUGGGGUGUGAAAUCUGGCCGCUUAACGGCCAGGCGCCAUCCCAUACGGCGCGACUGGAGUGAUGCAGAGGUCGAUGGAAUUGCCGGUGUAGUGGUGAAAUGCGUAGAGAUCGGGCAGGAACACCCAGGGGGGAAACCAGUCGACUGGGCAUCUACUGACGCUGAGGUGCGAGGAGCGUGGGGAGCGAACCGG
rnacentral:rRNA from 1 species